rnacentral:rRNA from 1 species
UACGGAGGGGACUAGCGUUGUUCGGAAUUACUGGGCGUAAAGCGCACGUAGGCGGAUUUGUAAGUCAGGGGUGAAAUCCCGGGGCUCAACCUCGGAACUGCCUUUGAUACUGCAAAUCUCGAGUCCGGAAGAGGUGAGUGGAAUUCCUAGUGUAGAGGUGAAAUCCGUAGAUAUUAGGAAGAACACCAGUGGCGAAGGCGGCUCACUGGUCCGGUACUGACGCUGAGACACGAAAGCGUGGGGAGCAAACAGG